CGAUGAUGAUCGAACUUGGAUGUAUAACCGGCAAGAUUCAAAGGGUCAUCUAACGGUGGAAUUUGGCAAUGGCGUCCCUCAUUUCUUGAAAUUUGCAAGAGAAACACUUGGAUGUGAAAGAAUAAAGUGCCCUUGCUUUGCAUGUUGUUGUUCAUUUUAUUUUUCGAUAGAUGAAGUGGGUAUUCACCUUUACAAAAACGGGUUCAUGGCUGAUUAUUCUAUUUGGCAUCAACAUGGUGAAAUCGAUAGCUCAAGAAAAAAAGCACGGAUAGAAAUUUUCGAAGAAUACGGCCAUACUACCUUUGAAGUUGGAUCUAGUAGUAACAAUCCAAUAGUCAAUAUGGUUCAUGAUGCAAGUAGACCAUUCGUUAUCGAUGACCAUCGUACUGAAUUACCCAAUGUUGAUGCNNNNNNNNNNNNNNNNNNNNNNNNNNNNNNNNNNNNNNNNNNNNNNNNNNNNNNNNNNNNNNNNNNNNNNNNNNNNNNNNNNNNNNNNNNNNNNNNNNNNNNNNNNNNNNNNNNNNNNNNNNNNNNNNNNNAUUGAUACAAUUUUGGAAUUAUGGGGUUCAUCCUUACCAGAAGUGAAUAAUCUUCCAAAUUCGUAUUAUAAAAUAAAGCAAAAAUUGAAUAAACUUGUGAUGAAAUAUGAAAAAAUAGAUGCAUGUCAGAAUAACUGCAUCUUAUAUCGCAAGGACCAUCAAAACAUAACUGAGUGUCCGCCAUGCAGACACCCUAGGUACAAGACAAUAACUUCUACUGGUCGAAAAAUACCAUUUAAAAUUUUAAGAUACUUUCCUUUGAUACCCAGACUUCAGCGGUUAUACCACUGUUCAAAUACUGCAAAGGAAAUGAUUUGGCACAGUCAAUGUCGGAAAGAUAUCGCCAAUGAAGUUAGACAUCCAGCCGAUGGUGAAGCUUGGAAAUAUUUUGAUCGUACUCACGAAAGUUUUGCCGCAGAUAUUCGAAAUGUGAGACUUGGUUUGUCCACUGAUGGAUUUAAUCCAUUUGGUCAUUCGAGCGUGCCGUACUCAUGUUGGCCAGUUAUCGUUACCCCAUACAACCUUCCACCGUGGAUAUGCAACACACAACCAUUCAUGUUCUUGACUAUUUUGAUCCCCGGUCCUCACAGUCCAAAGAAAGAAAUUGACAUUUAUCUAUCCCCUUUGAUUGAUGAAUUGAAAAUUUUAUGGAAUGACGGGAUCGAGACAUACGAUGCAUUUAAAAACAAAAUUUCUUAAUGAAAGCGGCACUUUUGUGGACUAUUUCAGACUUCCCAGCUUAUGCAAUGUUGUCCGGUUGGAGUACUCAUGGAAAAUUAGCAUGCCCAUAUUGUAUGGGAAACAACAAAGCAUUUUAUCUCAAAAAUAGUAGAAAGAUAUGUUUCUUUGAUUGUCAUCGUCAAUUUCUUUCGGCAAAUCAUCAAUAUCGGCGACAGAAGGAUAAAUUUAGUAGAAGGAUUGAAAAAGAUGUUACGAUUGAACGCCUUACAGGAUAUGAAUUAGAAUCUCACAUCCUUUCUCCGGAUGAAGUGAUUUUUGGAUUGUCGCACAAGGUCAAAGAAUCCAAUUUCGGGAAAACACAUAAUUGGACAAAGAGAAGUAUUUUUUUUGGAGUUCAUUAUUAAUACGUCAUAAUGUGGAUGUCAUGCAUGUCAUGCAUGUUGAGAAAAAUGUUUUUGAUAACAUCUUCAAUACAGUUAUGAAUGUCAAAGGCAAGACCAAAGACCAUUUAAAUGCUCGGAAAGACCUUCAGGAUAUGCGUAUUAGACAUAGCUUGCACCCACAAAUUUGUGACGACAAAAUACUUAUUCCCAAGGCCUCUUAUGCUCUUGAGAAGGACCAAAUCAAGAAAGUUUGUGAAUGGGUGAAGACAUUGCGUUUCCCUGAUGGUUAUGUUUCAAAUAUAUCUAGAUGUGCAAGCGUCAAAGAUUGCAAAUUCUCAGGUAUGAAGUCUCAUGACUGUCAUGUGUUCAUGCAAAGAUUAUUACCAAUUGCUUUCAUCGAUUUGUUACCAAAAGAAAUUAAUGAAGUAUUAACAGAAGUUAGCCAUUUCUUUAGUAAAAUUUGUUCCCCUACUUUGAAAGAAUCUGAAAUGAGAGCACUUGGAAAAUCCAUUGUCGAGACUAUGUGUAGAUUAGAGAAGAUUUUUCCUCCUUCUUUUUUUGAUUCAAUGGAGCAUAUGUUGAUACAUCUUCCGUAUGAGGCACAAGUCGAUGGACCCGUACAAUCAGAAGAUUGGAAAGAAGAUUGGAAAAAAAGAUCAGAAAAAGCAUCAGAAAAUAGGACAAACAAUCCAGAUUACAUGCCAUACACGGGUGGAUCUUGUUCAGUUGCGGCCACUCAUGAAAGAAUGGUAAAAAAACAUUUCUUUCAUAUAUUUUACAUUUAUCAUUCUAAUUUUUUUGAGUAUAACAAUCAGAAUGAAGAAGCUGGUUAUGAAGUCGGUCACUGUGAGGUUUAUAAGAAAACACAUAGUUUGGCUAAGACAAACGACUGGGCCCAUCCAAAGGGAGGAUGCUUCAUUGUAAGAAAAUUCGUUAGAAAUGCUUCGUUUUAAGAUAUUUAAGUCAUAUUUUUUUAUUAUUAUUGAUUUUCAUUUUUAUAGGCUGACUAUAAUGAGCUUCAAAGAAAUGCUAUGGAAGCAGAAAAUUCUGAGAUCAACUCAUCUAAUAGAUCACACACACUCCCUGAUAAUUUAGAAUUAUGGGUCAAAGCUACUAACGGAAAAAACAAAGGUCGUGUGCUUGGAACCAGAGCAAGUGAUCCAAUGCCAUUACAAAUUCCUGAUAAUAUGGCGACUUCACAGAACACAACGACGAAUUAUAUAGAAAUUCAACAACAAAAAAGUAAAGAAGACUUUGAUCGGGCAGUUCAAGAGGCCAUUAGAAAACAGAUGCCGGAUAUACUAAAGGAACUAAGGGAAGACUUACGUCGAGAGACGAUUGAGGUAAUUAGCAUUUAUAUAUAAAUCAAUAUUCAUAUUUUCUUUCUAAUUUCAAUUUUUUUUUACAUUAGGGUCAGUCGAGCCAAGGACACGACAACAU
rnacentral:lncRNA from 1 species